rnacentral:rRNA from 1 species
ACUCAAAUGAAUUGACGGGAGCCCGCACAAGCGGUGGAGUAUGUUGUUUAAUUCGAAGAUACGCGAAAAACCUUACCAGGUCUUGACAUCCCCUGCAAAGCUAUGGAGACAUAGUGGAGGUUAACAGGGAGACAGGUGGUGCAUGGUUGUCGUCAGCUCGUGUCGUGAGAUGUUGGGUUAAGUCCCGCAACGAGCGCAACCCUUAUCGUUAGUUACCAUCAUUAAGUUGGGGACUCUAGCGAGACUGCCGGUGACAAACCGGAGGAAGGUGGGGAUGACGUCAAAUCAUCAUGCCCUUUAUGGCCUGGGCUACAAACGUACUACAAUGGCUAUGACAAAGAGAAGCGAAGUCGCGAGGCGGAGCAAAACUCACAAAGAUAGUCUCAGUUCGGAUUGAAGGCUGCAACUCGCCUUCAUGAAGUCGGAAUCGCUAGUAAUCGCAAAUCAGCAUGUUGCGGUGAAUACGUUCUCGGGCUUUGUACACACCGCCCGU